rnacentral:lncRNA from 1 species
CCAAAUCUUAUAUUGUCCCCAAUGUAAGAAAUAAAGAAUAAAAAAAAGUACGGGAACAAUGAAACUUUCCUAAACACGGAGGGGCGGUGGAUAGCUGCAGGUAAGGGGCAAAAGACAUGUGAAAUUCGACGUUGGUUAACCAGCCAUCCAUUUGAUGAACUUGUCCACUGGUGAGAAGUCUCCUUUAGUAGUGCACCAAUUCGGCUGACAAAUUUCAAGGGCAACGAUGCAAACGAAUGGAGAGAGAGGCAAUGAUGGAGAAUGGUGAUGACGGUAGGAGCAGCGAGCGGCAGCAACGUAAACGGAAUUAGAAAUCCUAAGGUUUUAGUCG